CAAAGACUGAUUUGUGGCUGCGAUCUCUGCAAGAAGAGGAACAUCGAUAACAAAUGCUGUGGGUCAACUGCGACCUUUCGUCGCGCCAGCGAUUCCAGUUUCGAAGAAGCAUAGUAAUCGUGACAUUCCGCAUAUUUGAACUGUGCGUAAUUGUAAUAAUAUUUGCACGCGGUUGCCAGCGGAAGGUUAAAAUUAGACAUUCCCUAACACCGAAACACAUGUGUACUUGUGAUAUAUUGGCUGACGUAAUCUUAUCGAUGGUAAAGGCGUGGAUCGAACCAGGAGCAUCUGUCAGUUGCCUGCAGAACACGCCCGCUUCAGCUUUGCGGAAUACGCAUAUAUCCCGUUACUUUUACUUACAAAAGAGCUUUUUGGCAUUUUGCCUGAUUGCAUCAGCCAUGGCUCACCCAACUGUAUCAUCCAAUCCGCAAUUUCAAAUUGUCUCCCAGGGUGCCAAUCUGUUCUCUACCAACUUUGUUAAGGCUAUAGCAAAGGACCAGCAGCAACAGGAAAACCUGAUAUGUUCUCCUUUGAGUCUUACCGUCGCUCUGAGCAUGGCUGCUGUCGGUUCCGCCGGAAACACCGAGGCGCAAUUUAAGGAGGUUCUUAAGCUCCCGGCUUCGAAGACAGAGUCCUUGGCUGGCUAUCAAACCCUUAUCGACACUUUGAACAAUGUCGAGAAUGUUACCUUGAAGCUCGCCAACAAGAUGUUUAUCGCUGAAAACUUUGCGGUGAAACCUGAGUACAAACAGAACCUCCAGACGUACUACCAUUCUGACAUCGACUCGGUGAACUUUGGUGAACCCCAAAAAGCUGCGGAUACCAUCAACGCUUGGUGCAAGGAAAAAACCAACGAUCGCAUCGACGGCGUUGUUACUCCCAAUGAUGUGGGUCCAUCGACUGCAUUAGUACUCGCGAACGCGGUGUAUUUCAAAGGCAAUUGGGCUACCCAGUUCGAUCCAUUACUUACCAGCGAUCGUCCGUUCCACGUUGACGCCAGCACUGUGAAGAAUGUUCCUACCAUGUUCAGAAAAGGCAACUACAAAUUCGCCGAGCUGCCGCAGUACGAGGCUAAAUGCAUCGAGCUGCCGUAUGCGAAUAAGGAUAUCAGCAUGGUGAUCAUCCUGCCUGACAAGGUCGAUGGGUUGCCAGCAUUGACCGAAAGACUCGACGAAGUUACCAACGAGUGCAACAAUCUGCUCAGUCGCGCUUACGAACGUGAAAUUGAAGUGUUUCUACCCAAAUUCAAAACUGAGGUCAAGAUGCAGCUUGGAGAUCUGUUGACCCAAAAGAUGGGCCUUACUGAGCCAUUUAGCGAUGGUGCUAACUUUAGUGGGAUCUCGGACGUACCUUUGAAGAUCAGCAAAGUCAUACAGAAAGCUUUCAUUGAAGUCAACGAGGAGGGUAGUGAAGCUGCUGCCGUCACUGCAACCGUACUGAAGACAUUUUCAGCUCGCAGGAAGAAUAACAUAUUCCUAAUAAACAAUCCGUUUCUCUACAUGAUCGUUAAAUCAACCAACAGCGAGACUGGGGGUAGAAUAAAUUUGUUCGUUGGAUAUGUCGUUGAACCGACUGUGUGACGCUGUAACUUCACGAAGGACCCUUAAACUGACUGAUAAUCAAGAUAUAUAAGAAUCGAGAUGGUGAAUUAUUCCCUUUUAGCCCAUCAAGCGCCCAAGUUUAACGUCGAUCAUCCAUUCGUCUACGGCAUCAUUCAUUCGGAAUCGAACGAUAAAUUCCUUGUGUUG
rnacentral:misc_RNA from 1 species